rnacentral:misc_RNA from 1 species
GAAAUGCGAUAAGUAAUGUGAAUUGCAGAAUUCAGUGAAUCAUCGAAUCUUUGAACGCACCUUGCGCUCCUUGGUAUUCCUUGGAGCAUGCCUGUUUGAGUAUCAUGAAAUCUUCAAAGUAAAUCUUUUGUUAACUCAAUUGGUUUCUACUUUGGUAUUGGAGGUCUUUGCAGCUUCACACCUGCUCCUCUUUGUUCAUUAGCUGGAUCUCAGUGUUAUGCUUGGUUCCACUCGGCGUGAUAAGUUAUUUAUCGCUGAGGACACUGUAAAAGGUGGCCAAGGUAAAUGCAGAUGAACCGCUUCUAAUAGUCCAUUGACUUGGACAAUACUUUUAUGAUCUGAUCUCAAAUCAGGUAGGACUACCCGCUGAACUUAAGC